rnacentral:rRNA from 1 species
GACGAACGCUGGCGGCGCGCUUAACACAUGCAAGUCGAGCGAGAACCAGGGCUUCGGCCCUGGGGACAGCGGCGAACGGGUGAGUAACACGUGGAUAACCUGCCCUCGGCACCGGGAUAGCCCGGGGAAACCCGGAUUAAUACCGGAUGGCCCUUCCGGCUCACGAGCCGGUCGGAAAAGGUAGCUUCGGCCUCCGGCCGAGGAUGGGUCCGCGGCGGAUUAGCUUGUUGGUGGGGUAACGGCCCACCAAGGCUCCGAUCCGUAGCUGGUCUGAGAGGACGAGCAGCCACACUGGGACGGGGACACGGCCCAGACUCCUACGGGAGGCAGCAGUGGGGAGUCUUGCGCAAUGGGCGAAAGCCUGACGCAGCGACGCCGCGUGAGGGAGGAAGGCCUUCGGGUUGUAAACCUCUUUCAGGAGGGACGAAGCUACUCGGGUGAAUAGCCCAGAGGGUGACGGUACCUCCAGAAGAAGCCCCGGCUAACUACGUGCCAGCCGCCGCAGUAA